UACGAAGGGUGCAAGCGUUACUCGGAAUUACUGGGCGUAAAGCGUGCGUAGGUGGUUUGUUAAGUCCGUUGUGAAAGCCCUGGGCUCAACCUGGGAAUGGCAGUGGAUACUGGCGAGCUAGAGUGCGGUAGAGGGUAGUGGAAUUCCCGGUGUAGCAGUGAAAUGCGUAGAGAUCAGGAGGAACACCAGUGGCGAAGGCGGCUACCUGGACCAGCACUGACACUGAGGCACGAAAGCGUGGGGAGCAACAGG
rnacentral:rRNA from 1 species